rnacentral:lncRNA from 1 species
GUCACGGGGACCAUUUCUCUGGGUAGCGUACAUUUGAACGCAACCUGAUGAAGGAAUGAGAUGGAAUCAGAACUGUUGGACUUCACCAUCUACAGCUCCAAGAUCUCUGAAGAAGGCACGAGCGCGCCUCGUCUUCCUACCCCGGACAAUGCAGCCCGGGAAGACGCCGGAGGGACGGAGCGGUGGAAACCCAUUUGCAUGAACGUCGGCCCCGGAAAACAGAGACAAGGAGGCAAGACAAAAGCGGAGCAGGACACGGCCUCUGUGGAGGAAUGGCCAAGUCUCGCUGCGCAGCCAGGCAGCGUUACAAAAGACAAUCCUGGAAGACAGCCAGCAGCCGCUGAAGCGUCCUGCUGCCAUUAAAGCUCCCAUUUAGGCAGGAACAGGAAGUGCCCCUGCCAACUUGCUCCAUUUCCUCCUUUCUUCCUUAAUGCAUUCAGAUGGGAAACCUUUGUUGCAAGGAAUCAUUUUGCAUUUAGAUUUCCCAAAGUAAAACGAGGCGCGUGGGGAACUUCCUCAUUUGGAGAGGAAGCUGCUGCUAAUGAGCCCUUCCAAGCUCAGCUGAUUCUUUUCUGCAACCAUAGCAGGAACGCCAGGACAUGUUUUCUCUUCUCUAUUAGCUCCCACAUUCAAAAUGGCAGCCCCUGGGUAUGUUUGAUUGCUCUUCCCCCCGAACCUUUGAACUUCGCUGCAAUGAUACGACCCAAACUGCAGAUGGGUUCGUUGUGGAAUUUAAAAGGUAUCUGUCCAUCGCAGCAUUCGGUUAAAUCGCCCCCUUUGUGCCGAAAUGCCGCCUUUGAGCACAGGCGGCAUCAGAGGGGCUUCGGUAUCUUUAAUUCCCCUUUGUGAGACGUGCAGAUUAUGCAGCCAUGUUUACACAGAGCGUUCAGUCUGUGCGUGUUCAUCCGAGGGUCAGUCCAUUUUAGUUCGCGAGCUGCAAUCGUCAUCUCCAUCUCGUUCGUGGAGUGUGAGGACGCGCGGAGGAGAGGCUGAUCCCUCCCCAGUGUCCCACCUACAGCACAAGCACUCACAACCACACCUUGUCCUGGAUGUGUCGCCUCUGUAAUAACUUCCAAAAAUGUCUUUCACACAUGGCAAAUGAAAAAUCUAAAUAAGCCGCCUGGAUUUCCCCACAGCAGGAAAAUGCCACACGAGUUCAGUCCAGAUGGAAAUGUCAAGUUAUUGUGGCGGCUGUGAAGAAGCUGGUGGGAGCAGCCUCGAUGCUUUUUUAAAUAAGCG